GAUGAACGCUAGCGGCAGGCUUAAUACAUGCAAGUCGUGGGGCAGCAGGACUGUAGCAAUACAGUUGCUGGCGACCGGCAAACGGGUGCGGAACACGUACGCAACUUACCCUGAACUGGGGGAUAGCCCGGGGAAACCCGGAUUAAUACCCCGUAGUAUAAUGGAGUGGCAUCACUUUAUUAUUAAAGCUCCGGCGGUUCGGGAUGGGCGUGCGGCUGAUUAGGUAGUUGGUUGAGGUAACGGCUCACCAAGCCUACGAUCAGUAACUGGUGUGAGAGCACGACCAGUUAAAAGGGCACUGAGACACGGGCCCGAAUCCUACGGGAGGCAGGAGUAAGGAAUAUUUGGCAAUGGAGGGAACUCUGAACCAGGCAUGCCGGGGGGAGGAUGAAGGCCCUCUGGGUUGUAAACUUCUUUUAUAGGGGACGAAACCUGUGUAUUCUUACGCAGUUGACGGUACCCUAGGAAUAAGCACCGGCUAACUCCGUG
rnacentral:rRNA from 1 species